rnacentral:tRNA from 1 species
UGCCCUAUGGUGUAAUGGUUAGCACUUUGGACUUUGAAUCCAGUGAUCCGAGUUCAAAUCUCGGUAGGACCU